rnacentral:rRNA from 1 species
AACGAACGCUGGCGGCAUGCCUAACACAUGCAAGUCGAACGAGAUCUUCGGGUCUAGUGACGCACGGGUGCGUAACGCGUGGGAAUCUGCCCUUUGGUUCGGAAUAACAGUUGGAAACGACAGCUCAUACCGGAUGAUGACGAAAGUCCAAAGAUUUAUCGCCAGAGGAUGAGCCCGCGUAGGAUUAGCUAGUUGGUGUGGUAAAGGCGCACCAAGGCGACGAUCCUUAGCUGGUCUGAGAGGAUGAUCAGCCACACUGGGGCUGAGACACGGCCCAGACUCCUACGGGAGGCAGCAGUGGGGAAUAUUGGACAAUGGGCGAAAGCCUGAUCCAGCAAUGCCGCGUGAGUGAUGAAGGCCUUAGGGUUGUAAAGCUCUUUUACCCGGGAUGAUAAUGACAGUACCGGGAGAAUAAGCUCCGGCUAACUCCGUGCCAGCCGCCGCAGUAA